UACGUAGGUGGCAAGCGUUGUCCGGAUUUACUGGGCGUAAAGAGCGCGCAGGCGGUCGUUCAAGUCGCGUGUGAAAGCCCCCGGCUCAACUGGGGAGGGUCACGCGAUACUGAUCGACUCGAAGGCAGGAGAGGGAAGUGGAAUUCCCCGGUGUAGUGGUGAAAUGCGUAGAUAUCGGGAGGAACACCAGUGGCGAAGGCGACUUCCUGGCCUGUUCUUGACGCUGAGGCGCGAAAGCUAGGGGAGGCAAACGGG
rnacentral:rRNA from 1 species